rnacentral:rRNA from 1 species
UACGUAGGGUGCAAGCGUUGUCCGGAAUUAUUGGGCGUAAAGAGCUCGUAGGCGGUCUGUCGCGUCGGCUGUGAAAACCCGGAGCUCAACUCCGGGCCUGCGGUCGAUACGGGCAAACUGGAGUGCUGCAGGGGAGACUGGAAUUCCUGGUGUAGCGGUGAAAUGCGCAGAUAUCAGGAGGAACACCGGUGGCGAAGGCGGGUCUCUGGGCAGUAACUGACGCUGAGGAGCGAAAGCGUGGGGAGCGAACAGG